UUUCUAUCGGACCCAAUACACCAACCAGCCAGCUCCAAAACCUGGCCAACACCUAACAUCUACGACCCAACUCCAAUAACAGCAAAACAACGGCAACAAUAGAGCAGCAACGACAACAAAAACUUCAACCUGACUUUAAAAAUUUUGACUCACAAAUCAUCGGCCAGAACCAAUUCUAGCUCAGUAGCCAACGUCUAAAAUUUCCAUUCAUACCAUAUCGUACAAUUACAAUUCACAUAACUCAUUCUUAUCCCCAAUUUGAAUUUUUCUUCAGAAAAAUACCCCAAAACACCCUAAAAAAAUCCUUCAGUACCACAUGGAUUCUUCCUCCAAAGUUCCAUUUUGAAAAUCCCUUUAAAUACUUCUUCAAUUCCAUUAUUUAAGGGGUUGGAAAGCUUGGAUAGCGGGAACACCAAAAAGCAAGAGAUUUUGCUAUCAGAAGAAGGAUUUUGGUGUCAAGAAAUUCGAUAAGACUCAUUUGAGCUUAAAUUCCUAGGCUAAGAAUUCGAGUUUGUUUUCCGAUGGUGGCUAGAAUUUUGAUGAGCUCAAAGUUUCAGUUUGCUGCUCCAACAGAGACUUGUGCUAGUGGUUGAUGGUGCUCAUUUAAGCGGAUCAUACAGAGAAACUUUUCUUUCAGCAAACACACUUGAUGGUGCAGGUUCAGACGCAGGGCUCCUGACUGUACUUAGCAGCUUGGAUUAUCAGCACCAGAUUUAGUGGUAAGUCCUUAUAGUUUGAGGAUAAUGUUAUCUUUCAGUAUUUCAGUAGCUCAGCAC